GUGCUCUCUUCAACAGCACAUAUACUAAAAUUGGAAUGAUGCAGAGAAGCUUAGCAUGGCCCCUGCCCAAGAAUGACAUGCAAACUCAUGAAGAGUUCCAUAUUAAA
ensembl:snRNA U6 U6 spliceosomal RNA